UCUUCGACGUCCGAGUUGUAAUUUGUAGAGGAUGCUUCUGAGUAACCACCGACCUAAGUUCCUUGGAACAGGACGUCAUAGAGGGUGAGAAUCCCGUAUGCGGUCGGAAAGGUGCUCUAUACGUAGCUCCUUCGACGAGUCGAGUUGUUUGGGAAUGCAGCUCUAAAUGGGAGGUAAAUUUCUUCUAAAGCUAAAUAUUGGCCAGAGACCGAUAGCGCACAAGUAGAGUGAUCGAAAGAUGAAAAGCACUUUGGAAAGAGAGUUAAAAAGCACGUGAAAUUGUUAAAAGGGAAGGGAUUGCAACCAGACUUGCUCGCGGUGUUCCGCCGGUCUUCUGACCGGUCUACUCGCCGCGUUGCAGGCCAGCAUCGUCUGGUGCCGCUGGAUAAGACUUGAGGAAUGUAGCUCCCUCGGGAGUGUUAUAGCCUCUUGUGAUGCAGCGAGCGCCGGGCGAGGUCCGCGCUUCGGCUAGGAUGCUGGCGUAAUGGUCGUAAUCCGCCCGUCUUGAAACACGGACCAAGGAGUCUAACAUCUAUGCGAGUGUUCGGGUGUCAAACCCCUACGCGUAAUGAAAGUGAACGGAGGUGAGAACCGCAAGGUGCAUCAUCGACCGAUCCUGAUGUCUUCGGAUGGAUUUGAGUAAGAGCAUAGCUG
rnacentral:rRNA from 1 species